CUCAUCACUGUUGUGUGUGCUAUCUCAGAGGAAGGUCCAAACCGGGAGCCGACGAUUGCCGCCUACUGAUCUCUAUAAACCGCUGCUCUAGUAACCUUAGUAUCAAGCAUUCGGAUUGAAUUAAUAAGAUAUGUAAGAGUCAACGUGAAGCACGUGAGUCAACACGAUAGAUAUUUCAUCUGUGAUCGGCGAGUACGGGAAAAUUAAAAGGAAGUGCCGUGAACAGAUAACGCGAGUGCUCAAACAGGACCGAAUGACACUCGAAGCUUGUUUCAUCUUCAUUUUUAUUGUAUUACGUACGAAAGCAAAGGCUUGCGCUUCGAAUCAUCGUUUUAUCUCCAUCCCGUCGCGAUGACCACCCUGACGCAUUGUUCAUCGUCACGAUCGUCUGUGGGCUAUUGUCAGUUCGAUCAUGGCAACCAGGACGACAUGCGAGACACGGCUAUCAUAGACAACAAUAAUGUCUUACAACGGAAGAAGCACUCCUUCCCAAAGAGAGGGAACCGUCCACCUGAGCUGGACCUGUCGUUCCGCGACAUACGCUACCGCGUCAGGGAAUGGAACAUACGCAAUUUCUCAAUCAGCGAGAAGGAAAUUCUGCACGGCGUUAAAGGCGAAUUUAAAUCCGGCGAAUUAGUUGCUAUAAUGGGGCCGUCCGGGGCUGGAAAAUCGACAUUGCUGAAUGCUCUUGCCGGUUUCACGGUAAAGGGUGUGAGCGGAGAAGUACGGAUCAACGGUAAAGUUUGUGAACUAUAGAGCAAACUAUGGAAGAAGAUGUCGUGUUACAUACAGCAGGAUACCAUUCUCACACCAUACGUCACCGUCGGAGAAACCAUGACUUUAGCCGCUCAUUUGAAACUUGGCUGCACAAUCAGCUCCGCUUAUAAGCACACUCAGGUUUCAAAGUUGUUGGAGAUGCUAGGGCUGAGCCAUUGCUACGACACUUUAUGCGGAAAAUUAUCGGGAGGACAGAAAAAGAAGCUUGAUAUCGCUUUAGAACUCCUAACUAAUCCUUCAAUAUUAUUCCUCGACGAACCAACAACUGGUCUGGAUUCCUUCUCGUCCAGCCAAUGCGUCGCUCUCAUGAAACGAUUGGCGGAAUUAGAAAGGCGUACGGUAAUCUGUACGAUUCAUCAGCCGAGCGCCUUACUUCUGGAGAAGUUUGAUUCCCUGUACGUGGUGGCCGAUGGUCAUUGUAUAUACAGAGGCCCGGUUAGAUCCUUGACACCGCACCUGGCUUCCGUCGGCGCCCAUUGUCCACUUUAUUACAAUGUAGCAGAUUUCGUCAUCGAGGUGGCGAUCGGCGAAUACGGAGUUGAGCUCGAUAAGCUGGUGGCGGCGGCGGAAACGAUACCAAACGAUGAAAAGCAGGUCGCCCUUGCCGCGAGGCAGCCUGAAGAAACAGAUAAAAUCAAGGAACCACCACUGCCUGCCGGUUUCUUGACGCAAUGCUACUUUUUGUGCAAGAGGCGACUUCUAAGCUUGAAAAGACACUAUUCUUUACUACUGGCACGACUGCUCUGUCAUCUGUUAAUUGGCGUAAUUUUCGGAUAUCUGUACAUUGGAAUCGGUUAUCAAACUAAUUCCUUUGGAAACUAUUGUUAUUUAUACGGAUCAUUGAUGUUCCUCGUCUUCAUUGGAAAAAUGGCUGUUUUGCUUGCCAUUCGAUUGGAGAUGCCGAUUCUCAUGAAGGAGCAUUUCAAUUGCUGGUACCGAUUAGCGCCGUAUUACAUCAGCUUAUUGCUCGAGUCGAGAUAUUCUUUCAAGCAGCGUGUGCGACGUCAUAUCUGAUGGUGAGCUACUGGUUGACCGACCAGCCCGCAGAAACGAAUCGUAUAAUAUUGUUUAUGGUAGCCAGCAUAGCUUCCAGUCUGACGGCGCAAGCGUGGGGUUUCUACAUCGAUGUUAUUAUGCCGAUUAAGAUUGCAGUCUUUAUUGGACCGAUAAUCACAGCGCUAUUCUCCGUAUUCGGCUUCGCCAUACGUUACAUUGAUACGCCGUACCUGUUUCAUUGGUUGUUCCACAUAUCGUACUUUCGUGCGGGUUUGCACAGUUUUAUAUAUACUGUAUACGGAUGCGACAGAAAGGACUUAAAGUGCGAUGAACCGUUUUGUUACUUCAAGAACCCCAGAAAAUUCCUCAUCGAGAUAGACGCCAAUGAUGUAAACGUGGUCAAUAAUCUGGUACUCAUCCUCGGCAUCGGGGUACUGAUGCAUUUUCUAACGUCUAGCGCGCUUUGGUGCAAGCUCAGAAGAUGAGUCAAAUAUAUACGAUCCUAUCAAAUACCCAGUAAACAUUUUAACAUCCUAUGUAUAUGUAGGUUUCACAAUAAUGAUGUCACAAGGUUUAUUGUGUGAGAGUCAAAUAUUUAUUGGAUGAAACAAAUGAGACAAGCUUCAGAGAACGUUAUCACGAGUAAAUUGGAUACAGCACGUUAGGAUGUUUCUAACACGCAUGACGCCAUAAUGUCUUCUCCUCCUGAGUCCUCUCGCUAGACGACGGCCCCGCCGAUAUCGAUCUCAACACGAUCGAUACAUCAAAGUCGCGCGCGUAGCUCAAAGCCAUACCUUAUUUCUAAGAUCACAUCCCACAUAUAUAUAUUUUGUAUAUACAUAGGAUGUUAAAAUGUUUACUGGGUAUUUGAUAGGAUCGUAUAUAUUUGACUCAUCAGUGGAUGACAUAUUGUGUACACACAUAGUGAUACAUAAACGAUGUACAUUGGAUAUCGUAGGUAUAUGCAAAUGCAACGCGCUGUAUGUGCAUCCAAACAAUAUACAUAUGUAUAUUUGUCGAAUAUACUAUGUAUAUACAUUCUUUGUACAUUCAAUACAUUUUAUGUACAUUCUGUGUAUAUUCACUGUACAUUCUAUGUAUAUUCAUUGUACCUUCAAUAUACAUUCAAUGUAUAUUUAGUAUACAUUCGAUGUAUAUUCUAUAUAUAUUUGGUAUACAUUCAAUAUACGAGUAUAAUAUAUUUAACGCUUACUCGCGUAAUGAGAAGUGGUUCGGUCGUUGCGGGUAACUCGGCACUGAGUCGCGAUCGCGCCUCUAGAUGUAUAUUCUAUGUAUAUUCAAUGUACAUUCACUUUAUGUUUAUUCUAUGUAUAUUCAAUAUAUAGGGGAGACCGGGGCUAUUCUUUAGAUCUUUUUUUCUUUUGUGUCUCCUGAGUUCUAUAUUCAUAAAAAAAAUGUGACGGUUUGAAAGGUUGAACCUUUCCUUCACAAUGCCCGUAUAGAUAGAACAUGGAAGUGUACUUGCUUUGAAGUACAUAUAAAAAUGUCGACCAAUGCCAAGAAUUACAAAUAACCCCAAGCCCGGGAUAAUUUGUAACUAGUUGGGAAAUAUCCCGAAAUUUGUGUUUUAAAUUGAAAGACUGUAAAAAAACUGCUGUUAAGACUUUCUUUUAUUUAAAAAAGGAUAUAGGUAUACAAAAAAUAAAUGCAAACAUACACGUUUGCACGUCUUUUUAUGCCAUUGGUAUGACAGAUUCCCUAACAACUCCCUCACAAGUGUCAAUCUUUAUCGCUUUAUAACCUUUUACCUGCUUAAGAGCGACAAUUUUAUAUUCAUAUUCGUGUUCUAUCUACUGAAAUACACAAUAUUAUCAAGUUUGAACUAAAUCAAUGAAAAACUUCAGUUUACUUCAAUGUUUAACUUUGCGGAGCGUAGACGUUCAUAACGGAAUCAAUGUAAGGUUAGAGUUACUCAUAGGCGCUACAAUCAGUAUUAACGAAUCGCCCCGGUGCUCGGUAUUACGAAUAGCCCCAAUAUCAUCUGUGUGCAUUAUUGCGUACGAUCAACAAAAAUAGACAUCACACAGCAAAAAAUAAACACAAAAUGUUUCAAAUACAUUCAACUGGACACGAUACAUUC